CGGCAGACGGGUGAGUAACGCGUGGGAACAUACCUUUGGUUCGGAACAACACAGGGAAACUUGUGCUAAUACCGGAUAAGCCCUUACCGGGGAAAGAUUUAUCGCCGAAAGAUUGGCCCGCGUCUGAUUAGCUAGUUGGUGAGGUAAUGGCUCGCCAAGGCGACGAUCAGUAGCUGGUCUGAGAGGAUGAUCAGCCACAUUGGGACUGAGACACGGCCCAA
rnacentral:rRNA from 1 species